GACGAACGCUGGCGGCGUGCCUAAUACAUGCAAGUAGAACGCUGAAGGAGGAGCUUGCUUCUCUGGAUGAGUUGCGAACGGGUGAGUAACGCGUAGGUAACCUGCCUGGUAGCGGGGGAUAACUAUUGGAAACGAUAGCUAAUACCGCAUAAGAGUAGAUGUCGCAUGACAUUUGCUUAAAAGGUGCAAUUGCAUCACUACCAGAUGGACCUGCGUUGUAUUAGCUAGUUGGUGAGGUAACGGCUCACCAAGGCAACGAUACAUAGCCGACCUGAGAGGGUGAUCGGCCACACUGGGACUGAGACACGGCCCAGACUCCUACGGGAGGCAGCAGUAGGGAAUCUUCGGCAAUGGACGGAAGUCUGACCGAGCAACGCCGCGUGAGUGAAGAAGGUUUUCGGAUCGUAAAGCUCUGUUGUAAGAGAAGAACGAGUGUGAGAGUGGAAAGUUCACACUGUGACGGUAUCUUACCAGAAAGGGACGGCUAACUACG
rnacentral:rRNA from 1 species